AUUGAACGCUGGCGGCAUGCCUUACACAUGCAAGUCGAACGGCAGCACGGGUGCUUGCACCUGGUGGCGAGUGGCGAACGGGUGAGUAAUACAUCGGAACGUACCUUAUCGUGGGGGAUAACGCAGCGAAAGCUGUGCUAAUACCGCAUACGCCCUGAGGGGGAAAGCGGGGGAUCGAAAGACCUCGCGCGAUUAGAGCGGCCGAUGCCUGAUUAGCUUGUUGGUGGGGUAAAAGCCCACCAAGGCGACGAUCAGUAGCUGGUCUGAGAGGACCAACAGCCACACUGGGGAUGAGACACGGCCCAGAAUCCUACGGGAGGGAGGAGGGGGGAAUUUUGGACAAUGGGGGCAACCCUGAUCCAGCAAUGCCGCGUGAGUGAAGAAGGCCUUCGGGUUGUAAAGCUCUUUUGUCAGGGAAGAAACACCGGCUCUAACACAGUCCGGGAAUGACGGUACCUGAAGAAUAAGCACCGGCUAACUACGUGCCAGCCGCCGCCGUAA
rnacentral:rRNA from 1 species